CUGGUGAGUAAAUGCUUGACUAUCCAAGCCUGGAUCUUAUUCUUCUACAGUUGUUUUAUCUUCAGAUAUAAGUACCCUUCUUUGACACUCUUAUUGUUCAUUGUUCAAACAUUUGUGUUUGUUACAGGUUCAUCAGCUAUUGAAAAGAACAAGCUCAUACAAAUCGUUUUACAGGAAUUACCAAAGGAUUUAUCUGAAAUCUUCUUGGCUAGGAGGUUUGUUGAAGCAUGGAGAAUAAUUUUCCGUGAUAGAUAUUUGGUUAACGGAAUGAAUAUUGAGACACCACUUAGAAUAGUGAUAGGAAACUUAGCAUGA